rfam:Schistosoma haematobium scaffold79_4, whole genome shotgun sequence.
AUCCGGUUGAGGAGUGCUAAAUAGGACGAAACGCGCGUACCGGAU